AGCAGCCGCGGUAAUUCCAGCUCCAAUAGCGUAUAUUAAAGUUGUUGCAGUUAAAAAGCUCGUAGUUGAAUUUCGGGAUCAAUUUGCUGGUCGAGACCUCUGGUACGUACUGGUAUUAUUGAUCUCUUUAUUCUGAUAGAUCAUUGAUGUCAUUAAUUUGAUGACUUUGAGGAAUCGGAACUUUUACUUUGAAAAAUUAGAGUGUUUAAAGCAGGCUUAUUAGGCUUGAAUACAUUCGCAUGGAAUAAUGAAAUAGGACGAUUGAUCCUAUUUUUGUUGGUUUCUAGGAUUGACGUAAUGAUUAAUAGGGAUAGUUGGGGGCAUUAGUAUUCAAUUGUCAGAGGUGAAAUUCUUGGAUUUAUUGAAGACUAACUACUGCGAAAGCAUUUGCCAAGGAUGUUUUCAUUAAUCAAGAACGAAAGUUAGGGGAUCGAAGACGAUCAGAUACCG
rnacentral:rRNA from 1 species